CAACCUGCCCCGAAGACCGGGAUAACAGUGGGAAACCGCUGCUAAUACCGGAUGCCCCCACCGAGUCCCAUGGCUUGGUGAGGAAAUGCCUGAUUCUUUUGAGUCAGAACGCUUCGGGAGGGGCUCGCGGCCUAUCAGCUUGUUGGUGGGGUAACGGCCUACCAAGGCGACGACGGGUAGCUGGUCUGAGAGGACGAUCAGCCACACUGGGACUGAGACACGGCCCAG
rnacentral:rRNA from 1 species